CAUUGCUUUGCAGAUCCAACUUUUGUCUUUGCUCAAAUUUCUUCCCUCACAAAGGUCUCAUGAUUUUCCAGGGAUAUGCAUAGAUUCUGAGUACACACAGCCAACAACACAUCAUACUUCUGAAGCGGUAUUCCUUCUGGACUCCUCUGCCUCUAAUGAUGCUACAUAGUCUUCAGCAUGUAUAAAAUUUAUGCCUUUCCCAUUCUUAGUUUCUUCCCUUCCUGGACUGUAACUCCAGAUUUUAAUCUGACAUCCUCCUUCCUGAAGAUUUCUAUUUAUGGAUGA
rnacentral:lncRNA from 1 species